rnacentral:pre_miRNA from 1 species
CAAAUACUCUCUCCGUUCCAAAUUACUCGUCGUAGAAAUGGAUGUAUCUAGAACUAAAAUACAUCUAGAUACAUCCAUACCUGCAACAAGUAAUUCGGAACAGAGGGAGUAGUUU